CUGUGGCCCUCUUUUCAGGCUGGUGAAUUGGAUUUUUCUCCUCAACCAUUGGUGCAGGGUUUGGUUUGCUUAAGGAGCCGUGAAGUGUGUGCCUGGAAAGCAUGCAGGGCUGCCGCGCUGAGGACAGAGGCAGGCACCCAGGUUAGCAGGCAUUUUGCUUUGCUCUGCUUUGACCCCAGGUCUGGAGGAGGGCAGUCAGCGUUUAUGCAGCAGAGCCCAAGAAGAGGUGUUGGUGUCCAUGGGCACAGGGGAGAUUCCAGCCCCAGUCUGGGAGCCAAGGGGGUCCCAGGUGGGCUUUGCUUUUACCAGAGCUGCCGUAGGGGUAACAGUAAACCUAAACCUGUUGCUUUUUGUAUUGCUGUCAUGUUUUCUUCAGCCUGGAAUCCAUCUUCCACAUUGGUUUUCCUGUGGUGAGAAAACUGGGCUCCUACCCCACCACAGUCCUUCUGAUUUCAAGUUGCCAACACCUGUGUUACCUACCAGGUGUAGGACUGUGUCCUUCCCCAAGGCCUAACUCAUUUCACCUGUGGCCAUCUGUAAAUGAAGGCACUUGGCAGUGCCCCCUGCUGUGCUGUUGGUCCCCUGGGCCCUCUCUGUGCAGGCCCCAGCUCAGGCCUUGCCUCCUCAGCACGUCUGAGGGCAGUAUAGCUGCAGCCAUCAAAAUGGGUAUUGCUCUUCUGACUUCAGCUUUGCUCAUAGAAGUGGUGUAGAACAUGCCUAAAGGUGUGGAAACUUGUAAACAGAAGUCUCACUGUCAGCACUAAGUGCGAUCCUCGUUAAUUUAGAUAAGUGGCAGAGGUAGAUGCAUGAGAAGAAAAUCUGGACAUGUGGAGCAGGCUGGGAUCUCUCUCAGGACAGGAGGACAGACCCUGUCACACUGCUGCCACUCGUGCUGCUUUCACUGUGCUCACCCCUUCUGUCUUCGUGUCACCAUGUGGAGCAAGAGGGAAGUCUUCAUCAGUAUUCACUCUCUGGGCACACUGCAGAAUGUUUGAAGACUGCAAUUUAUCCCGUGAAACUGCACCUGAUGCUGUAUUUCUGUCUUCUCCUGAGUUAGCAGCGUAUUGUUACACAAAGACUUGUAAGAACUGUAAUCACUCACAAGAAUGAACAGUGAUGGCAAGGUUCCGUCUGGGUGAGAGAUGCUCUGGGCACAGGGUGGUGGAAACACGCUACUCUCUCACCAUGUCCCUAAGAGCCAGUUCACCUCAAAUAUUUCUCUCUCCCUGACCCCCAUGUCUCACUUGGAGAGAUUUCCCAAGGAACACUCUUCUGUUGAGCUACUGAAGGCGAUUAGGUGAGAGAUGAGUGCUGUGAGUGAGAGAGCUGACCUGGGGCAGAGGUCAUGACUGAGAUGUUGGAAGGCACGAUGGCAUGAGGGAUGGAGGAGAAAGGCCUUCCCUUCUGGUGGCCAGGGACUGUCAGAGCAGACUGGCUGCAUCAUUGGUCUAUGUCCUUAUCAGCAGUCUAUUACUUCUGCAGUUAGCUGAAAUGUUGGAGAAGUCUGUGGCCCAAUUACUUAGCAACAGCAAAUGUCAUUUACGAGGUAUUUGUAAAUAA
rnacentral:lncRNA from 1 species